UACGUAGGGGGCAAGCGUUGUCCGGAUUUAUUGGGCGUAAAGAGUGUGUAGGCGGCCAUACAGGUCAGCUGUGAAAACUCGAGGCUCAACCUCGAGAGGUCGGUGGAAACCGUUUGGCUAGAGUCCGGAAGAGGAGAGUGGAAUUCCCGGUGUAGCGGUGAAAUGCGCAGAUAUCGGGAAGAACACCCGUGGCGAAGGCGGCUCUCUGGGACGGUACUGACGCUGAGACGCGAAAGCGUGGGGAGCGAACAGG
rnacentral:rRNA from 1 species